rnacentral:rRNA from 1 species
UACGGGGGGGGCAAGCGUUGUUCGGAAUUACUGGGCGUAAAGGGCUCGUAGGCGGCUAACUAAGUCAGACGUGAAAUCCCUCGGCUUAACCGGGGAACUGCGUCUGAUACUGGAUGGCUUGAGUGUGGGAGAGGGAUGCGGAAUUCCAGGUGUAGCGGUGAAAUGCGUAGAUAUCUGGAGGAACACCGGUGGCGAAGGCGGCAUCCUGGACCAUUACUGACGCUGAGUGAGCGAAAGCCAGGGGAGCAAACGGG